ensembl:lincRNA
GGCUGGGCCCGAGCCGGGGGGCUCCCGGGCGGAGAGAAGCGGGCGGGCGUCGCCGGGCCCCUGGCCGCCGCCGCGUCCUGCCCUUCUCCUGCCUUUCCUCGACCCCUUCUCUUCCUCUGCCGCGGCCCCCGCUCUGCGGUCUCUGUCCCUCCGGGUGCGCGUCCCACCUCGCGGCCCAGGCCGCCUACCGCGUCUAUGCAGACCCUCUCCACACUCGGCUACAGAAACUCCGACUCGCAACUUUGCCGGAAUCUUCCCUCCAGAGACCCCUUUCCCUGCCUUCCGCGAGCAGCCCCCGCCCCCAACUGGCCGCCUGCCUGCCCUCAGCAGAAAACCGAGUCAAUCCGGAAAAACAGGCGCGGGUGCGGCGGGAGAGGAGCGGGGAGCCGGAUUAGGGAGGCCGAGGGGACGGGGGCGGCCGGGACUGAGAGACGCCCACGUUCCCUAACCACUGCUGAUGGCUCGUGCCAGGCGCGAUUGGCAGGUUCGAGCAGGCACAGUCAUUCCGCACACAGAUGUCCCUGCGUUCCCUCUUCUGAUAUGAAUCCUGUCAGCUCGGAAUCUGAGGGAGAUGAGCAGACAGCCGCACAGACAGAAUCACAGACAGACGCAGGCACAGACAGCAAUUGUCUGGAGGACACAGAACACGGGUAUUUUUUUUUUUUCUUCCGUGGGGAGAAAAAAAAAAAGGCUUCUAAAAAAGAAAAAGAAAAAGAUCUCAUUAAUUUGGAGGGACAUUUCCCAUCCCCUGCACGUGCCCUCCUCCUCUUCCCCCUUCCUGGCAUUUGCCCGCCUGACCUUUUCCAGUAGCUCUGAGGGCCGCACAACAUCACCCCUGAACUUCAGAGUGGAGUCUUCAGAGCCAGAGGCACCAAAACCUGAGAGGUCUAUUCCCUCACCACGCCGGACCCUCCCGAAUUCUGGAAUUGCCGCAUCGCCGCCGAGUUCUGAUUUCUAGAACACAGACAAGGUGCAGGUUCCCACGUUCUAGAAUCCCUGAAAUUCUAAACCCCAGAACUCCUGCCCUGAGCCAGGACAACAGUGCUCUGAGCGCCCAAUUACUCUACUGCCCUUUGCAGCCGAGGAGUAAGUGGGUGCUGUCCUGUGCCCCUGGGCCGAGGGUCCCUGCCAGCCUGGCCCUCACCCGAAGCCCCUGACCCCCUGCUCCCUGCCCUUACCCCCUGGCAACCAGCCAAGAGACACAGCCCCUUUGAAUUAGAGACUCCGAAGGCCAAGCCCCCUGGCUCCUGUCCCCCUCUGAUCCUCCCCACCGGCCCUGGCCACCACCGCCUUGCCCGUCCCAGCGCUGCGGGAGCGCAAGCAGCCCGGGCAGGAGCCAUGGGGGUUUGGGUGGCUCUGGGUAGCGGGAGCUGGUGGGAGAAGAGGAAACCGGCAAAAGGGGCGAAGAAACUCCCAGCGGCGCAGAUGGAGAAGAGGGGCGCAAAGGCUUUGGGGCUGUGGUUUGUUGGGUUGUGUUUUUUAAUCUUCUCCCUUUUUCUUUUCUUUUCUUUUUUUAAAGAAAAAAAGCCCCCAUCCUGUGUCAUCAUUUUUAUGGGAUCUGCAAUUCUGGCAAAAAUCUGUCUUUAAUUUAGCUGUCCAUAUAAAAA